GACUAAAUAUUAAGGCUAUUCCUUCAGGAAAUGAAUGAAAGUGUUAUCAAAAUCAUUACGUACAUUAUAUAGCUAUUUACAUGCGAAUUAAUAAUAACAUGAUAAUUCACCACACUUUUAAAUAAUGUUAAUGUUGUAUGUAUGACAUGACUGCUGGUGGGAGGAGCUCUAUCUCUUUCUUUUUUCAGGGGACUCACAGAUAUGCUGUACACCACUAUUAAAAUAUGUUUUUCGACUCUAGAAGAUCAUUUUUAGACUUUUAAACUGGUGAUUUAGGACUUGACUCAAAAUAUGGACCAGUUACCCAGUGUCUCUCCAAGCAAAGUCAUGGUUCUAGUUAUUUUCUGCCUUAAAGUAUCAUAUGCUAUACAGUGUGUGGGCCCUGUGUGAACAACGCUGCCUGUGUCACUUUCCACAAGAGAACAGGCUAUUGCAGGUGUGCUUCUGGUUUGUUAGGCGAGUACUGUCAGCACAAGGACCUGUGUUACGUGGGAUAUUGUCUAAUGGAGGAGAAUGCACUGUGAGUGUGGACAGUGUACCUGGGAGCCCCAGAUGUGUGUGUCCUCUGGGUUUCACAGGCCAGUGCUCUGAGAUGAAUUACGUGCCCGGCUUUUCAUCCCCCUGCCUCAAUGGUGGAACCUGCCGGCAGAUGACAGACAGGGUGGCAGUGGCUUAGUGGUUCAUGUAGGUUGUCUACAAACCGGAAGGUUGGUGGUUCAAUCCCCGGCUCCACCUGACCAAGUGUCGAGGUGUCCUUGAGCAAGACGCCUAACCCCAGCUGCUCCCAACGAGCUGGAUUCAGCCUUGCAUGGCUGACAUUGCAGUCGGUGUGUGAAUGAGUGGGUGAAUGUGAGGCAAUUUGUAAAGCACUUUGGAUGACCAUGGGGUCUGUUGAAAGCGCUAUAUAAAUGCAGUCCGUUUACCAGACACAACUUCUAUAUGCCACUGCCUGCCAGGUUAGUUCCAGAGGGGAGGAAAUAUAAAUCUGUUUUGAUAAUAACAUAAAAUACUAUAAGUCAUAUUUAACAAAUACUUACUUUAUCAGUAGACCAACAGCUUGCAUCCACUUCAUCUUUCUAAUGAAUCAGCUUGUUAUUUAAAAAGAAUAAAUGCAACAAAGCAUCUAAACUUGCAUAUAAAAAUGUAAAAAAAUGUUAGUGACUGAACAUUUUUAUGAUGCUGAAAAGUUAAAGAGAUACUGUAACAUGGACUACCACAUACUGAUAGAAAUUAACCUGUGAUGUGUGUCAGGUGAUUAAGUUUCAUGUUUCAAGAACAUUCUUCAGAGGCAUUUGUUACAUGUAGGGUAAAAUAAAUACAUCUUUAUGAAUUAA